rnacentral:rRNA from 1 species
ACGGGUACUUGUACCUGGUGGCGAGUGGCGAACGGGUGAGUAAUACAUCGGAACGUACCUUAUCGUGGGGGAUAACGCAGCGAAAGCUGUGCUAAUACCGCAUACGCCCUGAGGGGGAAAGCGGGGGAUCGAAAGACCUCGCGCGAUUAGAGCGGCCGAUGCCUGAUUAGCUUGUUGGUGGGGUAAAAGCCCACCAAGGCGACGAUCAGUAGCUGGUCUGAGAGGACGAUCAGCCACACUGGGACUGAGACACGGCCCAGACUCCUACGGGAGGCAGCAGUGGGGAAUCUUGGACAAUGGGGGCAACCCUGAUCCAGCAAUGCCGCGUGAGUGAAGAAGGCCUUCGGGUUGUAAAGCUCUUUUGUCAGGGAAGAAACACCGGCUCUAACACAGUCCGGGAAUGACGGUACCUGAAGAAUAAGCACCGGCUAACUACGUGCCAGCAGCCGCGGUAAUACGUAGGGUGCAAGCGUUAAUCGGAAUUACUGGGCGUAGAGCGUGCGCAGGCGGUUAUACAAGACAGGCGUGG